UGUCUCCCCCCUCUAAUCAGUGAAACUGAUCUCCCCGUGAAGAAGCGGGGAUAAAUUUAUAAGACGAGAAGACCCCAUGGAGCUUUAAGCUUAACGGCACCUAUUAAUUUCAUACCCUCAUAUUCUCCUAGUAAUGCUUGUUCAGCUUUGGGUUGGGGUGACCAUGGAGCAAAAAAUAGCCUCCACGAAGAAAGGAACAAAACCCUUAUCAAAGAGUUACAUCUCUAUGAAUUAGAACACUAACUUUUAAUGAUCCGAUAAUCGAUCAACGAACCAAGUUACCCUGGGGAUAACAGCGCAAUCCAUCUCAAGAGCUCCUAUCGACAGGUGGG
rnacentral:rRNA from 1 species